GCCACCGUCCCAUACUUGUCCACCUCGGGCAUGUUCAUGUCGUCGAUGAAGUAGACGAGCUUCUUAGUGCCUGGCGGCCCGUAGUUCCUCCCCGAUUUCUUCUCCAGCGGCUUCUCCAGCACCCCUAGAGAGGGCAGAGGGUCAGCUGCCCGCCUGCGCCUCCUGAGCCAGAGCCUGUUAGGUAGGGAGGGGCGCUACCUGCUUCCCCGGAGGACAGAAGGUGGGACCUGGCUGGGAUCCAAGUUUACCAAAGCCCUACCCUCCAGCACUCCAAGGCAGGACUCGCCUCACUUCUGGCGCCUCCUGCUGCCUCCUCCAUACCUCAUUGCCAUCUGGCUCUGCCCUCAACACGCCCUGAAGCUGUUCUCCCUGAGUGAUGGAGAUGCGCCUAGCUCCCAAAUGCAAUGGGAACUCUUCUGUCCUUGGCUUGACUCUGGGUGCCAUCCUACUGAGGUGAUCAGCCCGCCUUGGCCUCCCAAAGUGCUGGGAUUACAGGAGUGAGCCGCUGCGCCCGGCCCUGGAUGCCUUUUAUGAACCACCAGGCUGAACCCUUCUCUGGAUCACGUUUGCUCUGGAGACACACAGGUCCCUGGAGCGGGUGACACACCUGAGAUUUGCCGCUGCCCGCAUUCCCGACGAUGAACACGGAGUGGCGGACCUGCAGCAGCUCCUCCAGCUGCACCACCUUCAGCACGAAGCUGUCCUCCGCCUGCAGCUUGAGCUCCACGAUGCUCUGCUUGAUGAUCUGGGGAGACAUGGAUGAGGCUGGUAGAGACAGGGUUUCACCAUGCUAGCAAGGAUGGUCUCGAUCUCCUGACCUCGUGAUCCGCCCGCCUCGGCCUCCCAAAGUACUGGGAUUACAGGCGUGAGCCACCACGCCCGGCCCCCAGAUGGACUUUUAUCACUCAGCAGAAUUCUCUGGAGAUGCACCCAGGCUGUUGCAGGAACCAGCUUUGGGACCCUGGAGGGCAAGAGCUCAAUGGCACCACACCACCCUUCGGUGCUUGGAACGUUGCAGAGAGGCAAGGAGGGUCUAUCUGGCGUGUGAGGUCACAGGAAAGCUGACGAGCCAGUCACCCGACGUGACCCCGAGGCCGCAGGCAGGGGACUUUACCUGCACGGCAAUCACAGACAAGACUUCCACUGAGAUGCGAUUAAACUCGUCAAAGCAGCCCCAGGCUCCCGUCUGGGCCAGGCCCUUGUAGAUAUUUCCACAGGACUGGAAAGGGCGAGAUGGAGAAAGGAAGAGCUGGGAGGGUGACAGGGAGGGCGGGCGCUGCAGGGGCCUCCCCCUGCCUCUUCGGCUGUGUUUUCUCUUCCCAAAGCUUGCUCAGGCCCCGGUGCAUUGGAGCCUUCCGCAGGCCAGCAGGCAGGUCAGCUUACUGCCCAGGGUAACACCGUGGAGGGCUGGACACGAGGAAGAGCCAUCCUUUCACCCUUGCCUCCCAGACCCCAGGAUGGGGACUUCCUGGAGUCCCUAAUAAGGGGCUCAGACAAGCACAUUUAAGUUCUAAACCUUGCAUGUUUUCUCAGCCCUUUUCUUUCUUGCGUGGAGAGGAGAGGGAGUCCUCUAAGGCGGGAUGGGGGCACGUCUAGCAGGCCGGAGGCUUUCCCUCAAGACAUCUGUGUCUCUCUAGGCCCCACCUGGGCCAAUCAGAAGGACUCGUCCCAUCUACACCUGGGAUUCCAGGUGGAUGUUAAGUCCCUUCCAGGGAGAUCCAACUUCAGAUUUCACUUUUCUAAAAUCCAGGAGGCGGAUGUGGACUGCGUGGCCCUGACAGUGAACAUGGGCUGCUGGUCCCAUCCUCAGCCUCAGGAGGGGGCCCCCAGAUUGUGGGGCUCAGAUCCAAGCUGGGGAGGGGAGACCCUCUGCAGGCCUAGGGUCCAAAACUCAGGGUUCCAUCCCCCUUGCCUUCCCGUCUUGCAAGAGGCUGCUGCAGCCUGGAGCUCCGAGGUAUCCCCUUCCCCUCCCUGGCCUCCUGUGAGCCGACGAUGUCCUGUGCAGGCUCUAAUGACUGAUGGGACCGGGCCAAUCCCCUGCUCCCCUCCCAAACCCACCUGGACACUGCUUGUACCCCACCCCAUGCUGAACCAUGAGGGAGGUGCUCACCCCUGUGCGGAGUCCCCAGUUCGGGGCAAUCUUAACAACUGAAAUUGAGAGAGGGUCACCUCCAGGGCAGGGGCUGGGGCAGGACAUUUGGGGCUGCGUCUGUCCACCCUGGAAGUCUUUCCAGAGGGACCACCUGAGGGGGAUGCUACCAGCAAGUGGGGGCCCUGGCACCUCCUCUCCAGUGCCAUUCACAGGUAUCCAGAGAUCUGGAGUUUACUGUGGGGCCUCGGAGGACAGGGUGCUAGGAUCUGCUUCUAUAAAAGAAGACUCUGGGUCCCUCCUCCGGACCCCGGCCGCGUACCUUGUAGUCCAUCUGCUCGGAGCAGUUGAAGACGUAGACCAUGGUGCCCAGGGCUCUGCCCAGGUCCUUGGUCGUCUCAGUCUUGCCGGUCCCAGCGGGGCCGGCAGGGGCUCCACCCAUGAUGAGAUGGAGGGACUGGGUCAGGGUGAUAUAGCACCUGCAAGUGACCACAGGUAAGCGUGUGUGCCAGCGACCCCAUGGCCUCCCUGCUUUUAUUUUUUUGAGACAGAGUCUCACUCUGUCACCCAGGCUGGAGUGCAGUGGUACAAUCUUGGCUCACUGCAACCUCUGCCUCCUGGGUUCAAAUGAUUCUCAUGCCUCAGCCUCCCAAGUAGCUGGGACUAUAGGCGCCCGCCACCAUGCCCGGCUAAUUUUUGUAUUUUCAGUAGAGAUGAGGUUUUGCUAUGUUGGCCAGGCUGGUCUCGAACUCCUGACGUCAGGUGAUCCACCCACCUCGGCCUCCCAAAGUGCUGGGAUUACAGGCAUGAGCCCCAGGAGACACAUGGGAGAGGGCAGAAAACCUUCAGGUGUGAAGGAGGAACCACAACCGUGGAGCAGAGGCAGCCCAGGUGCCUUUCCCACCUGUGGCAUUCAGGGAGGUGGGCACUGCUACGACAACCAGAGUCUGCUCAUGAGGGUCCAUAAAACAUGACCCCAACUCAGCAGGCCCACAGAGGGGUGCAGGAACUCUCCCAAGGCCACACAGCCGGUGCUAGAACAAGGACACAGUGGUAGAACUGAAUGUGAACACAGGUCCACCUGACGCAAAUGCCCAGUCCUUCCAGCCUCCACAGCUGACCUCCAAGUCGGACAGUUCCAAGAAUCAUGCGGAAGGGACCCACCAAGAGCACAUGUGAGUUACUCAGGGACGGGCCUCACCUGUCAGUGAGUGGGGUGAUGACCAGCCGCGGCGUGUUGCCCAGAUACUCAUAGGAAUACUGGAUUUGGGCAUCGCAGAUGUUGGCAAAGCAGUGUCGCUUCUCUUCGUCCCAGCGAUGCCGGAGCUGGGCCUGCCAGGUGAAGGCCUGAGAACUCUCCACCUGCAGGAUGAGCCGGAGCUCUUGUUGCCAGGUGGAAUACAAGAGCUAGGGCUGCCUAAGGAAGGCCAGCAUGCCUCCAAGGCCGGUCCCCUGCUGCCCAGGGAACCCUCCCUGGCCCUCUUUCCCCCUCCAGCACCCACAUCCAACUGUAUGGCCACCCUCAGUGGAAUCUCGCUACAGAAUGGCACUUCCAAUGGGCGGGCACCGCUCAUCUGACUGCUGUGUGUUGCUCACCAGGGGUGAGUCCGGGCAAGGAGGUUAGGAGGCAGCUGCAGCCAGCAACAGAGUCAGUGCCCCAGGAAGAGGAAGUGGCAGGGUCUGAAGUCCCUGAAUGCACUGCCCUGAACCCGGUGUCCCCUUGCCCUUCCCCUGGCCCCUGGGACAGGGGCGCUCAUGCCUUGGCCACGAUCAUUUUGGCCACCACGUCCCGUGCGUGCACAUCGAUGGUGCAGAUGGUCAUGAUCUUCAUCCUGUCGCCAGCGUUGAGGUUCCCCAUGAGCAGCGUGAUGAGUACGUUCAGCUGGCUAAUCUGCGGGGGAGAGUGCCUUCGAUGAGACACCACGGGUGCCCACAUGCACUGGGGGGUCUUGUGGCUGGGUGCCCACAGCUGCAUAGGGAACACCACCAUGCUUUUGUUUACAGUAAUGAAAAACAAGAGCGCCCUCGGUAGGCCCCAGCCAGGCACUGGUUUCACCAGGGUGCGGCCCUGAUGGGACACCUGGCAGUGGCUAGCAUGGACGUAGUAGAAGGAAAUUCAAGGCCACGAGAGAGGGUGGAUGAGAAGCAAAAACAGCUGACUUUAACGCCAUCCAGAGUCUGUAUAUUUUUACAUAUAAAUCAAUUAUACACACACAGAGUAACAGGUUGCAUAAGGGCCCUGCAGUGUCAUGCUUGGGUUGUGGAAUUACAGGUAAAUUCUCCUUCUUUUCAAGAUGAUCUUUUGUUUCCAUAUUUCUAACCAAGGACAUUUUUUUUUUAAAGACUCUCAGUAGCAUCUGCCAAUUUUCAGGCGAGAAAUCAAAGUACAUAUUUCUGAAGGUGUCUGUUACUCGUGGGGAGAGGUGCCUGGGGCUGUGGUGCGUGGCUGUUAUUUGGCCUGUGGAAACGACGGUUUUGCGGGGCUCAGCCUCCGAGAAGAAGCCGCUCCAGGUACUCGCCCGGCAGGUUUCAGAAGGAUACACGGGCCCAUGCACCUGCUUUUUAAACAAGUUUUAAAAACGUAACUAACUACACACUAGUAACACACCUGCUUUUUGUUAUAAUCUCUGAUAGCGUUUUCAUAGCCUUCCUCCAGCCUGGCAAAUGCCAGGCCCACCUCGGUCGUCCACCAGAUCUGGGUGCAAGUCAGGGCCACCUGAAAGUACAUACCCCCCAUUGCCCACGCAGUGAGCGAUCGCUGGCGCCUGCUAACGCAGACAUUCCUGCUGAAAGCUUAGAUGGUUUUCCAGGGGACCACAGUUAACAGCGGAGCCCAUGAACGCAAAGAAACUCGCCCCUUAUCUCAGCCACGAGGCGCCGCCGAGCCCCCACCCGCCUCAGACCUGGGCUGGGUAGUCCAGGAUCCACUGCUCCCUCGGCUUCUCUUCGUAGGUCACCACGGCCUCUGGGAUUUCGUGCCGGAGGGUAGAGCACAUUCGGUCCAGCACUCGAUUCAGCCACACUUCCACCUGGGGACGGGAGCCACGGUGACCAAUACAGCCAUGUGUGCCUGC
rnacentral:lncRNA from 1 species